rnacentral:rRNA from 1 species
CUUCCGGAAUGUCUAGCAUGCGAGUCAUUGUAGCAAUACAAGGCAUACGGCUCAGUAACGCGUAGUCAACCUACCCUAUGGACGGGAAUAACCUCGGGAAACUGAGAAUAAUACCCGAUAGAACAUUAUGCCUGGAAUGGUUUAUGUUCCAAAUGAUUUAUCGCCGUAGGAUGGGACUGCGGCCUAUCAGUUUGUUGGUGAGGUAAUGGCCCACCAAGACUAUUACAGGUACGGGCUCUGAGAGGAGUGGCCCGGAGAUGGGUACUGAGACACGGACCCAGGCCCUAUGGGGCGCAGCAGGCGAGAAAACUUUGCAAUGUGCGAAAGCACGACAAGGUUAAUCCGAGUGGUUUGUGCUAAACGAACCUUUUGUCAGUCCUAGAAACACUGACGAAUAAGGGGUGGGCAAGUUCUGGUGUCAGCCGCCGCGGUAAAACCAGCACCUCAAGUGGUCAGGAUGAUUAUUGGGCCUAAAGCAUCCGUAGCCGGCUCUGUAAGUUUUCGGUUAAAUCUGUACGCUUAACGUACAGGCUGCCGGGAAUACUGCAGAGCUAGGGAGUGGGAGAGGUAGACGGUACUCGGUAGGAAGGGGUAAAAUCCUUUGAUCUAUUGAUGACCACCUGUGGCGAAGGCGGUCUACCAGAACACGUCCGACGGUGAGGGAUGAAAGCUGGGGGAGCAAACCGGAUUAGAUACCCGGGUAGUCCCAGCUGUAAACUAUGCAAACUCAGUGAUGCAUUGGCUUGUGGCCAAUGCAGUGCUGCAGGGAAGCCGUUAAGUUUGCCGCCUGGGGAAGUACGUACGCAAGUAUGAAACUUAAAGGAAUUGGCGGGGGGAGCACCACAAGGGGUGAAGCCUGCGGUUCAAUUGGAGUCAACGCCGGG